rnacentral:rRNA from 1 species
CCUACGGGUGGCUGCAGUGAGGAAUAUUGGUCAAUGGACGCGAGUCUGAACCAGCCAAGUAGCGUGCAGGAUGACGGCCCUAUGGGUUGUAAACUUCUUUUAUAAAGGGAUAAAACGAGGCACGUGUGCCUUUUUGCAUGUACCGUAUGAAUAAGGACCGGCUAAAUCCGUGCCAGCAGCCGCGGUAAUACGGAGGAUCCGGGCGUUAUCCGGAUUUAUUGGGUUUAAAGGGAGCGUAGGCGGGCUAUUAAGGUUGUUGUGAAAGGUUGCGGCUCAACCGUAGAACUGCAGUGGGUACUGGGAGGCUUGAGUGCAGUUGAGGUAGGCGGAAUUCGUGGUGUAGCGGUGAAAUGCUUAGAUAUCACGAAGAACCCCGAUUGCGAAGGCAGCUUACUGAAGUGUGACUGACAUUGAGGCUCGAAAGUGUGGGUAUCGAACAGGAUUAGAUACCCUUGUAGUC